rnacentral:sRNA from 20 species
GUCAGCACCCCGCUCUAAAGAGACGGGGCUUCAUGCCUCCUCUUUGGAUAGCUGACCAGCUAUAGUCUUAAUUGACUACGUUAUCGGCAAGUGUUCAAGAACCCACCAAUAGAUGCGUAGCUAGUCUGUUGCUCUGGA